GCCGAAUUAGCUUAAUUGGUAGAGCAGUCGUUUUGUAAGCGAACGGUUAGGAGUUCAAGUCUCUUAUUCGGCA
rnacentral:tRNA from 3 species